UCGCGUGCACUGGGGUCGGUGAAAUUCCGAGCCGGCGGUGACAGUCCGCGACCCGAUGGCCUCUGGCCCUCGGCUGACCAGGUGGAACUCCUGGGCCGACGGUGAGAGUCCGGAUGGGAAGCGCACGCGA
rfam:Brachybacterium faecium DSM 4810 strain 6-10, complete genome.